rnacentral:rRNA from 1 species
UACGUAGGGCGCAAGCGUUGUCCGGAAUUAUUGGGCGUAAAGAGCUCGUAGGCGGUUUGUCGCGUCUGCUGUGAAAACUGGAGGCUCAACCUCCAGCCUGCAGUGGGUACGGGCAAACUAGAGUGCGGUAGGGGAGAUUGGAAUUCCUGGUGUAGCGGUGGAAUGCGCAGAUAUCGAGGAGAACACCAAUGGCGAAGGCAGAUCUCUGGGCCGUAACUGACGCUGAGGAGCGAAAGCAUGGGGAGCGAACAGG